rnacentral:tRNA from 1 species
CAAAAUAAAGCUAAAUAAGUAAAGCGUCUCACUUACAUUGAGAAGUAUUUCGUGCAAAUCGAUAUAUUUUGA